rnacentral:lncRNA from 11 species
GCAGGCGCAGCAGCGAAUGGCGGAGAGAGUAGGCGGGGCUAAGAGCCAAUGGGGAAAGUCGCCUGCGGGGAAGGCGGUGGCUGGUUCUACCUUCAAGUGCUGAAUUGGCGCCGAAGGCUGACAGAAGAUGAGAGAGAAGCGCAGAAAAGAAGUGUUAGGAACUGCGUUUAACCCUUUUGGAAUCAGAGGGGAAAAGGGAACUAGAGAGCUUAAUACCCCUGUUGCUUCCUGCUUGUGCUGUGACAACAAUUCAUCUUUCUGUUUACCAGUUGAGCUCAACCCUGCAUCCCAUCCCACCCUAUUCUGUUGA